GAUGAACGCUGGCGGCGUGCCUAAUACAUGCAAGUCGAGCGAACGGACGAGAAGCUUGCUUCUCUGAUGUUAGCGGCGGACGGGUGAGUAACACGUGGAUAACCUACCUAUAAGACUGGGAUAACUUCGGGAAACCGUAGCUAAAACCGGAUAAUAUUUUGAACCGCAUGGUUCAAAAGUGAAAGACGGUCUUGCUGUCACUUAUAGAUGGGUCCGCGCUGCAUUAGCUAGUUGGUAAGGUAACGGCUUACCAAGGCAACGAUGCAUAGCCGACCUGAGAGGGUGAUCGGCCACACUGGAACUGAGACACGGUCCAGACUCCUACGGGAGGCAGCAGUAGGGAAUCUUCCGCAAUGGGCGAAAGCCUGACGGAGCAACGCCGCGUGAGUGAUGAAGGUUUUCGGAUCGUAAAACUCUGUUAUUAGGGAAGAACAUAUGUGUAAGUAACUGUGCACAUCUUGACGGUACCUAAUCAGAAAGCCACGGCUAACUACGUG
rnacentral:rRNA from 1 species